CCCGCCCAGUACAUACUUGUAUAUUUUAGUUCAGGGUCCUUCCAGUUGUGGCAUGUGGAUGCCGCCUGAACAUGGCCUGAUAAGCAGUGCCAUGUCCGCGCCCAGGAUCUGAACCAGUGGAACCCUGGGCCACUGAAGCGGAGCACACGAACUUAACCACUCCGCCACGGAGCUGGCCCCUAUAGUCAAGUUUUCAUUAGUAACUCAUAUUGAAGUUUUCCUGUCUUGUCCCUGCACCAUUGGAACCACUUACCAAAUUUUUCUUUAUUAUUUUUUUCUGCUUACAGAUUAUAUUCAUGAUAGCCUUCACCAACAAUAAUUAACCCCCAGGUAACCACCAUUAAGUUUUGACUAAAUUCCCUAUCUACUUCUAUGCUUUAAUUUUUCCUGCCUGCUCCACAGUCUACUUGUGGUAGUAGUGACUUUUAAAAUUCCAUUUAUGACUCUUACUUUUAUCUCGUUUGUAAAUUGCUCUUUUCUUAAAAUUAUAGACUCAAAACUAGAUACUUAGAAGGCAUCUAGUUCUUUGUUAUCUCUGAAAGGUGAUCAAGUAGGUCUUUGCUUGCCUGUCUCUACUGAAUGGAGUGGGUUACUCCUGCGGUGGAGGCUGCCCAUCUCCCGUUACCCAACUUCAGUGGCUAGAGGGUUAUUAAGCUGAACUCUGCCUUGCCUUUGCAUUUAAUUUUUCCCCUAGUUUUCGCUCGUUGAAACAAUAUGGAAGAAAUCUUAUUUUUCAAUGUGGCAGCUCUUUAAAGAUUUGAAAAGGGUUUGUUUUUUGUUAGCUAUUUGUCUAAGCUUUUUUCUUUCCUCCAACACUGUCCCAGAGAACUUUCUGUGAUGAUGGAAAUGUUCUCUACCUGUCCUGUCUAAUCAGUAGUCGCUGGCCACAUGUGGCUAAUCAGCACUUGAAAUGUGGCUAGUGUGACUGAGGAAUGGAAUUUUGAGAUUUUAUUUAAUUUUAGUUAAUUUAAAUUUAAAUAGCCAAAUGAGGUGAGCAACUCUUGUGUUAGUGCAGCUCUAAACUCUAGGAGUUAGCACAUUGUCACAUGGUUGUCUUUUGGCUACUCCAGAUGUCUGAUGGUGGUCUUAGGCAUGGUAAAACGUGUAGCUGCGCUCUUGAUCUCUAUGGAGGCCAGACUUACAUGUUGUCACAACUGAGGAAAAACACGAACCCAACCCCCAAAGCCAUGAUGAGUAAUGUCAGUUUUUAUUGAAGGUUUCUUAGAACGGGUAGAAGUUGGAGGUUAUAUCUCAUCUCCUAUAUCUCAAAAGCAAAAAUUAAAAAAAAAACAAUCGUCAUUCAAUCUCUCUGUCACUAGGAGGAAGGGUCCCUAAAGUCCCUCUUCCUACAGUGGCUGCCACGUCUCUCCCUUCUCCCUGCCCUUCUCUCGCAGCAACAUCUUCCCUUCUCCUCUUGGAGCCUACUCUUCCGUUCUCUCUGAGCACUACCUCCAUCUCUCUCCCCUGGAGAAGAGCUCUUCGUUGUGCAUCUCUUUCUCCAACUUCCCUUCCCUUUCAUUAUCUCUGCUCAGUAAAACCAAGGAACUUUUUCUGGACGCAAUCUUUCUGGGGCAUGGUUAGGGCUAGAAGGUCAUAAAUAAUUUUUUUUUUCCUUUCUCACAUAAUUCCUGACCUCCUCCUAGGACUCCUCUCAUUUUCUUUUAUCAUUGCUGAAGAGUCUUUAUUUAGCUUUGUUUGUUUGUUUGUUUGGUGAGGAAGGUUGGCUCUCAGCUAACAUCUGUGCCAAUCUUCCUCUACUUUGUAUUUGGGAUACUGCCACAGCGUGGCUUGGUAAGUGGUGUGUAGGUGGCUUGAUGAGUAGUACGUAGGUCCGUGCCCUGGAUCCGAACCUGUCAACCCAGGGCCACCAAAGUGGAACACGUGAACUUAACCACUACGCCACCAGGCUGCUCCUGUGUAGCAUUCUUUUGCAGAACAAUCUCUAAUGUCUUUUUUUCAUCCCAGAUGUAUGCUUGACAAAUCCUAAAGCUACUGCUUCACAGUUCCUUCAUCCAUUUUUCUUUCAUUUUUGUUUUUCACUUUUUUGCUCAUCUGUUAUUUUUAAUAGGUUUAGCUUCUCUUUACCAGUCUUCUCCAUAUGGAUAGGCCAUACCCACAGAGGAAGUGGCAUUCAUUUGCUUCUGUUGUCACCCAGUGCUUUGUCCUCCGUUGUUUCCCUUUUGGCUCACCAUUGUUAGCCAUACCUACCUCCCUUUUUUGUCUCUUGUUCUCUUCUCCUCCUUAUUCAUAUCUUUAAUAAUAUUCACUAUUUUUUUAAAAAUUCAUUUUUGAGGUCUCAGAUUUUUGCAGGAACCUCACGUAAGUCUCUGCCGUGCCCUAAAUCUGUGUGUGGAGCGCUGAUUUCUGUGGAUUGGGGGUGAUGGAGUUGCAGGGCAGAGUAUCCUCUCAACCACGGCACUGACAUCUUGGGCUGGAUAGUCUUUUGUUGUGGGAGACCUUCCUGUGUACUGUAGGAUGUUUGGCAGCAUCCCUGGCCGCUCCCCACUAGAUGUUAGAGGUAACUUCUCAGUUGUGACAACCAAAAAUGUCUUCAGACAUUACCAGAUGUACCCUGGAAGGCAAAAUCCUGCCUCACCCCCCACCCCUGUGUUGAGAACUACUGUGCCAGAAUAUCGGCUUUCUGAAAGUGAUGGCUAUACUUUUUCUCUCCAACUGCUGAUGUGUUUGCUUUGCUUGGGUUUUCAAAAGUGUUGUCUUUGUCUUACUUGGUGGGAGGCAGCCUGUUAAAAUUACAGGUUCCCGAGCUCAUCCUAGACCUCCUGAAUCAGAAAUGUUGGAAGUAGAAUCUGGAAGUGUGAUAUUUACAAGACCCUACCAUAGCCCACCCUGCGCCACCCUAACCAGAUGCUUGGAAAAUGUGGAAUUGAUCCAAAACUGGAGCAGGCUACCUCCGUGGAACAUUCCUGGCAGGCUGGAGCAAGAGAGCACGAAGGGUGAUGAGGGCGACAGAUAUGAAGCCGAGAAGUGUCUUGCUGAAGAGAAUCCCUUCCUUGACUAUGUCUCAGAAGGUCAAUGGAUCAAGGAUAAUCCUAUACUACUGAUGGACCAAUUAACCUCUGUCAUCGUUUGUCGGCCAGGCACUAUUGAUAAUAAAAAAAGACUUUUAAAUAACUCCUUAACAGUUGCAAAAUAUUUUUUCAACUUUAUUGAAAUGUAAGUUACAUACAAGACAAUACACCCAUUUUAAGUGUACAAUUCAGUGAGUUUUGACAGAUGAUUACACCUGUGUAAUUAUCUCCUCAGUCAAUAUAUAGAACAUUUCUGUCAUUCCCCCAAAUUCCCACCCUUUGCAGUCCAUCUCUUCCCACCCCACCCCAGACACCCACUAAUCAGAUUUCUAUCACUGUAGAUUAGUUUUCCCUGGUGUAGAGCUUCAUAUAAAUGGAGUCAUACAAUAUGUAUCCUGUGUUUGGCUUCUUUAAUUCAGCAUUAUGUUUUUGAUGUCUAUCUGAUGCCAGCCCUGACACCAGUUCCCCUGCAUUAAACCCAGCAUAUAUGGGGUUAUAGCAGAGCACUCAGCCCCUCUCCCUGCUUACUCCUCGGCUUCCUGGCGCCAGAGUCCACCAUCCACCAUGUAGGCAGACAACCAAGGACACCCACUUGUGGAUUUCCUUAUCUCACCAUCCUGCCGGCAAUCACCCUCACAGGGCCAAACAGGCUGGUGGGAAAGCACCAACCAGCAAGGCCACAGGCUCCCUGUCCACAUGCAGCUGCAUUGCUUGCUACCUUUAAAACCACUUGCCUCCCAUCUUUCGGAGAGACAAGAUGAAUUUGAGGGCUGAUCUUGUCUCCCGGCUCAUGUCACCCGAAAUAAAAAUCUUCUCCUUCCCAUAAGCCUGGCAUUCUGGUUUUUAUUUGGCCCCUUUUGUGUGGCAGGUAAAGAACCUGUAUUUGUGGCCAUUAACCCAUCCAUCUUUUAUGUAUAUCAAUAGUUCAUCUCUUUAUUGCUGAGUAGUAUUCAUUGUUGGAUAUACCACAAUUAGUUUAUCCGUUCAUCUGUCGAUGGACGUUUAGAUUCUUUUCCAUGUUUUGGAAGCUGCUGUGAAUGUUCACAUACCAGUCUUUGUGGACAUAUGCUUGUAUUUUUCUUGGAUAAAUUCCUAGGAGUGAAAUCUUAGGUUCUGUGGUAAGUGAAUGUUUAACUUGAUUAAAAAAACAAACAAACUGCCAAACUGUUUUCCCAAGUGGCCGCACAAUUUUACACUUACCAGCAUUGUAUGAGAAUUCCAGUUGCUCUGCAUCCCUGUCAGCACUUGGUAUUGUCAGUUUUUUAAAAAUCCUAGUAGGUGUACAGUAAUAUCUCAUUGUGGUUUUACUUUGCAUUUCCGCACUGGUCGUUGAUACUGAGCAUCUUUUCAUGUGCUUAUUUGCCAUCGAUAUCACAUAUUUGGUGAAGUCUAUUUAAAUCUCUUGCCCAUUUAAAAAAUCAGAAUGUUUGACUCAUUAUUUGCAUUGUAAGAGUUCUCUUAUAUUCUUGUGUUGUAAGAGUUCUUUAUAUAUUCUGGACACAAGUCCUUUGUGAGGAUGUGAAUUGAAAAUAUUUCUCCCCAGUCAAUGGCAUGCCUUUUAAUUUUCUUUAUGGUGUCUUUUGAAGAGCAGACGUUUUAAAUUUCGGUGAAGUCUAAUUUCUUUUUUUGUCAUAACGGUUAGUGAUUUUUGUGCCCUGCAUAAGAAAUCUUUGCUUACGCCAAGUCAUAAAGAUUUUCUCCUGUAUUUUCUUCUAUAUCUAGAAGUUUUAUAGUUUUAACUGUUACCAUUUAGGUAUUUU
rnacentral:lncRNA from 1 species